rnacentral:lncRNA from 1 species
CCGGCUCUGCGAGUCUCCUCCCAUAACACGAACACGUAUGAUUCCAUUCAAAAGUCUUUACAGCAUUUUCCAGUCUUUCGUGUUAACUCCUACCCCAUACCACCCCCCUCACUGUCUCUCGCCUUUACCCUACAUGCAACUAGAUGACUAAAUCUCACUCUUACACAAACUUCUAAUUCCUUCCAACCCACUUCUUCAGUAUCCCCUCUCUCUCCCUCCCUCUCCCCGUAUACUCUCUCCCUCUCUUCGUACUCUCUCUCNNN